rnacentral:rRNA from 1 species
AGGGAAGAGCCCAAGAUUGAAAGCUGGCGCCUUCGGCGUCCGCAUUGUAAUCUCAAGAAGUGUUUUCCGCUUCGGACCAUGCCUAAGUCCCUUGGAAAAGGGCAUCAUAGAGGGUGAUAAUCCCGUACAUGGCAUGGAGCGCCCGAAGCUUUGUGAUACGCUUUCUAAGAGUCGAGUUGUUUGGGAAUGCAGCUCAAAAUGGGUGGUAAAUGCCAUCUAAGGCUAAAUAUUGGGGAGAGACCGAUAGCGAACAAGUACAGUGAUGGAAAGAUGAAAAGAACUUUGAAAAGAGAGUUAAACAGUACGUGAAAUUGCCAAAAGGGAAGGGUAGGAGGUCAGAGAUGCGUCGCAGGAUUCAGCCUUGCUUUUGCUUGGUGUUUUUCCUGCGUUGCAGGCCAACGUCGGUUUUGGGCACUGGAGAAGGGUAGGAGGAACGUGGCACCUCUCGGGGUGUGUUAUAGCCUCCUACUGGAUACAGCGACCGAGACCGAGGAACGCAGCGUACUCGUAAGAGCGGGCCUUUUGGCACCUUUACGCUUAGGGCGUUGGCAUAAUGGCCCUCUACCACCCGUCUUGAA